rnacentral:rRNA from 1 species
AACGAACGCUGGCGGCAUGCCCAACACAUGCAAGUCGAACGAAGGCUUCGGCCUUAGUGGCGCACGGGUGCGUAACGCGUGGGAAUCUGCCCUUUGGUUCGGAAUAACAGCUGGAAACGGCUGCUAAUACCGGAUGAUGACGAAAGUCCAAAGAUUUAUCGCCAGAGGAUGAGCCCGCGUUGGAUUAGGUAGUUGGUGGGGUAAAGGCCUACCAAGCCGACGAUCCAUAGCUGGUCUGAGAGGAUGAUCAGCCACACUGGGACUGAGACACGGCCCAGACUCCUACGGGAGGCAGCAGUGGGGAAUAUUGGACAAUGGGCGCAAGCCUGAUCCAGCAAUGCCGCGUGAGUGAUGAAGGCCCUAGGGUUGUAAAGCUCUUUUACCCGGGAAGAUAAUGACUGUACCGGGAGAAUAAGCCCCGGCUAACUCCGUG